rnacentral:rRNA from 1 species
UACAGAGGUGGCAAGCGUUGUUCGGAAUUACUGGGCGUAAAGGGCGCGUAGGCGGCCUUCUAAGUCAGACGUGAAAUCCCCCGGCUUAACCUGGGAACUGCGUCUGAUACUGGGAGGCUUGAGUAUGGGAGAGGGAUGUAGAAUUCCAGGUGUAGCGGUGAAAUGCGUAGAUAUUCGGAGGAACACCAGUGGCGAAGGCGGCUCACUGGCUCGAUACUGACGCUGAGGUGCGAAAGCGUGGGGAGCAAACAGG